UCGAAAGUUUCUUCAUCAGCAGUUUGGAAAAAAGUAAAAUAUUCACUGUGUUCUGAACGAUGUUUGAUAUGAUUUCUUAACCAAAAUCUGUUUCCUUAUAGAAUUGUUCAAAUAGUAUACGGUAAGUAAUUCGGUUUCUUCUGACUCCAACUCUUCUUUUUCGAUAACAUGUCUGCUGUCACUGACAUUUCGCGUAGAACUAAACCAAUCGCCCGUCGCCGGGAGCUCGAAAUGACUCGUCGCGUACUCGCGGCCUAGCUCCGCAUUACUCCGUUUCUCCGCUCCGCUGCCUCGCUCCGCUCCGGUGGACAGGCAGCCUUAUUCGGUAUUCCGCUCGGCAAAUUCCGUUUGAAUCGACAAUUUGAACACUGCAACGGCCGGCCCAGUGUAUGCUCGUCAGAAAAAAUAUUCCGGUGAGUAUUUAUAUGUUUUAUGCUAUUAUUAUGCUAAAUUUUGUUCAAAUAACAAUGUAGUGAUAGCUAAGUGUUACUUUUAUGACGAAAUAAUUAGUCACUUUUUCAAAAUAUUCGAAUAUAUAUGAGUGUCACUUGAAACGGACAUAGUCAAUUAGGUGCUGUAAGUAGUGUUUAUUAACUUAAUCAUAUAUAGCGGAUAUCACCCAUAGUUGCCAGAAGUAAGUUAUAUCUUUAUUCGUCAUUUCUAACGGACAUUGCCUUUACUGAUUUCAGCAAUAUGGCGAAGUAAGCUUGGAGAUCUAGGAAAAUUAUCGCUUUGGUGCCUCCUUCAGAUUCCGAAGAUUUGAACGACUUCAGGAACGACUCUAGAAGUUCUUCGCCCGUAAGAAACGGUCAUUGGUCUGUAAUAUAUUAUUUAAUGGAAGAUUUGAGCGACUGUGAGGACUCAGAGCAAGAAGCAUCUCAAGUAGGUAUAAACAUAGAGUCAUUAUUGUCAGUAUCGUCUUCUCAAGGAAUUAGAUCUACUAAUCUACCUCCAUGUGUUGUACCUGAAACGCCAUCAACAAGUUCUGUAGCUGCGCCAUUUACACCAGGAAUAGCAACUCGUCGUACAAGACAUCUCAUUAAUACUGAGUCUUCUCCAAUCCCUCUUCAACCUAAAGAACCGGUUUCAAGAAAACGUAAAAUGCAUCGGUUAGAAUUUUCAUUUAAAAAAACCAAAUAUACAGGAACCGUAGAAGUGGAUACAAGCGUAAAUUUUGCAGAACGGAUUGUAUUAGAGUCUCCACAGCAGUAUUUCAAAAAAAAAAUUCAGCAACGAUCUAUUGGACUUCAUUGUAGAUAUGACAAACUUGUAUUCCGUUCAACAACAAGGUAAAUCUAUAUGCGUAACAAGGAAAAAUAUAGAAAUUGUGUUAGGCAUUGAGAUUAUUAUGGGAAUCGUAAAAAUGCCAGCAAUUGAAGAUUACUGGAGCAAUGAUCUCAGGUUUGAACCGAUUGCAUCUAGUAUGGGAAUAAAACGUUUCAAAUCUGUCAAACGCUAUUUACAUUUCUGUUAUAACACAAAUGUAGACAAAAGCGACAGUUAUCAUAAAGUUUCUGCUGUUAUGGAGCAUGUACGUAAGCAAUGUUUAAAAAUAGAAGAAGAACGAUCAUUCGCGAUUCACGAAAUGAUAAUACCCUAUUGCGUCUACCACACGUGCAUGCUUGACCGCAGUUUUACUUGCGCAUGCCAGCUUGUACACUGAACACUGUGCGUGUAGUUGGUAAAACGGUAGCAUGCGCAAACUCCAAUGCUUGACUUGAUGGUUUUUAAACUUACUUGAAAUUCUGGCAUGCGCAAGCUAUACUUGUACAAACUUGUCUGCGCGUGUGGUUGGUAGUUCAGUGUUCAAGCCGCUUUCAGUUUAGUCGAGUGGAGUAACGGUACGCGCACGGUCGUUAAAAAUGGCGGAUUUACGUACAUACAAUCGACAGUUCGUUACUGAAUUCAUUGAAUUAUAUAAAUCUCUGCCCGCAAUGUGGAAGAUCAAAUCCAAGGAUUAUUCUGACAAGAAUAAAAAGAAUGACGCAUACGAACAAAUGAUAAUUAAAUUGAAAGAGGUAUGUAUGUAAGAACAUAAUAUUUUUACUCCAUUUAUUUUAUCAUUAGAAAAAAGAGGCUCGCCGAAAAUAAUAUAGAACAAGUUACUUUACAGGAAAAAACUAAAUCAGGCAAACCAAGAAUGAGACGCAAAUUUGUGGAAUCGUUGGAAACAAGAUUAAAAGAGAAGAAAAAGAGAAAGCUAGAUAAAAUGACGGUAAAGCCAGGUUGCAACGAAACCUGUACAAAGAAAUGCAUGUCUUCUUUUACGGAAUUAGAACGCAUACGCAUAAAUGAAACAUUUUGGAAAUUAAAUUAUGAAGCACAGGGUUUAUAUGUAAAGUCGUUGGUUACUGAAAAAGAAGUACAAAGACGUAUUAAAGAUAGCCAGAUGAUGCGGAAGCACACGUAUAUGUAUUUUUUUGAAACAGACAAUAAGAAGAAGGAAGUUUGUAAAAUAUUCUUUCUCACGACUCUGGGAUACCACAAAAACAAUGACAGACGUGUGCUUGAUAUUUUAAAAAAGCUUCCUGAAGCUCAAGGAGAUCGUCGCGGGAAACAUAGUAAUUCAAAACAAUUCGACAGAGAGACGAUCAAACAGCAUAUCGAAAGUUUUAAACCAGCCAUUGCACAUUAUAGGCGUGCACAUGCCCCAAAUAGAAGAUAUCUACCAAGUGAUUUGACUGCAACCAUGAUGCAUGCAGAUUUUAUUGAGAAGAAUCCAAAUUUUAAGGUAUCUUAUGAUCUCUACAGGAAAAUCUUAAAAAAAGAUAUGAACAUAUCUUUUGCUCAGUUAGGUAAUGAAGAGUGCGAACAAUGUGAAACAUUCAAACUACAUCAAAUUUCAUGCAAAAAUACAGAACAUUGUACUGAUUGUACUACAUACCAGAUCCAUCGAGAAAAAUUUGAAAAAGCACGAACUUAUUACCAACAAGAUGUAAUACAAUCUAUGAAUAGCUCAGGAUCUUCAAAAUGUUACUACUCUGCUGAUUUGCAAAAGGUCAUUAUGUUACCCAGACUAGACAUGUUUAAAGUUGUAAUGUUUUGUCCAAGACUUAUAGCGUUCAACGAAAGUUUUGUGCCUUUGGGCUCCAGUAAAGAAAAACCUUUCGCAGCGGUUUGGCAUGAAGCAGUCUCUGGCAGAAAACAGGAAGACAUUAUAAGUACGUAUAGAUCAUUUUUCGAAAGCAAACGUGAUUGCGAUGAAAUCAUUAUUUGGACAGACAACUGCACUAGCCAAAAUAAAAAUUGGGCAUUUUUCAGUUUUCUAGUACAGAUAAUAAAUAGUCAAUUAAUUAGAGCAACCAAAAUUACGAUAAAAUAUUUCGAACCUGGGCAUACAUUUAUGUCUGCAGAUAAUUUCCAUCAUCAGGUCGAAAACCAGCUCCAAAAAGCAAAGAAGGUCUAUGAUUUUUCGGAUUUCAUAGAUUGUGUACAGCUAGCAAACUCGGGAAAGGUUAAUGUUAAACCCAUGGAAAUCAGUGAUUUCUUCAAAUACAAAGAUCACUCUUCACAAUAUAAAUUAAAAAAAUGUGAAGAGAGAACAUAUUUAAAAAAUAUUGUUUGUGUCGAGGUAGUAAGAAACAGCAUGAAACUAUUUGCUAGGACGAGCCAUGAUGACAACAAUAUAAUAGAAAUAGAUUUUCUGAAAACCAAACUAAUAAAACAAUCUGCAAUACCGGAACCAGAGAGAAACCAAAACGCACGCGGAAUAACUCAAGAGAGGAAGACUGGUAUAAUAAGAAAACUAGGUGAUAUAAUACCUCCUAAUAGACUGUUAUUUUGGGAAAACCUCCCUGUUAACGACGAGUCUGUAGAUCUCACUGAAACUAGAGAGCCUCAAGAAUAAUUAUAUUUUUUUACUCUUCCAUAAGAUUUAUAAAUUGUUUUUAUAGGAGUUAUGCUUUUUAUGUUCAUAAUAUUUUUUUUUUAUGGGUAUUGAUUACCUAAAUUUUAUUUUAAAUGUUUGGAUUAAGAAUAUGCCUUUAUGUUACGAUGAGCCUACUUCUGUGAUAAUUAAAUAAUAGUACACAGUCUCAUUAUGUAGGAUAAAAAUGUAGUCUAUUUUUAGAUAAACACAUUUUUUAUUAUUAUUAUGUCCUAAAAGACUGUUAAAUAUAUGAAUAGUGAAGUAAUUAAAAAAAGAUAUGUAAUUUGUUAUGAGAAUAUAUAACUAUUAUUUUCAAGUUAUAUGUGUAUCUGAUGUCCAUUUCAUUCUAUACCUAGUUUACGUUCGUAUUUACUUACCAAAUUGUUUGCUUUAAGUUAUCCAAGACUGAAUACUAUUAGAACUAGAUUGAAGCAGUCUUAUUUACUUUAUAUAUUGAAAAACGCUUACAAUUAAGCAGGUAAUAUAGAAAAUAUUGUUACUACUUAGAGAUUAAUCUAAUAUGUUCCUACUAUUAAAUAAUAUAUGAGUCAGUCUAACAUCAGUUACGACUGACUCAUAUAUUAUUUAUAUUAACAUAUGUUAAUAUGAAUGUUGUCUUAAUAAAGAUUAAUUUUCUUCUACAAAUUGUUUAAUUUUAAUAUCCCCGCAAUCGGUUUAAACCACAGAACAAACUUUUCUUUCAAAAAUCCUUGUAAGAGGAUAUUAGGUAUACAUCGACUUAGCCCCGGACAUCAAAAAGCGGUAAUUAAUACUUAGCAACAAUGCAGUAAUCAACAUGCGCUAGACCAUAAUGCAGUAAUGAACGCAAUUGCUGCAUUUAAUCUUAAUAUCCUCUGGUUUCCACAAGGCCCGAUGCUAAAGCUAAACGCAAUAAUACGCAUUAUUAAUGGACAUACAAAUUUAUGAAACAUAAGAUAAUUAUCUUUGAAAAGCUUAAUUUUUUUCCUAUUUUACUGAUAUAUUUGAAUGGCUAUAAAAUACAUACAACUUCCUCAAAUAUGUUAAAAUGUCUUUCCCGCGUUUAUCUCGAAACCGCCAUUUUGCGAUUACUGCAUUCUUCAUUAUGACGGCAGUAUUGUCGAAAAUGAAGGUUUUCGCAAUUUGAUUAAAGUUAUUGCGCCUCAUUAUAAACUUCCCCAUAAAACGACCUUGACCCGAUGGGUUGAUGAUAAAUACGCAGCAUUAUCAACAGUCUUCAAAGAAAAGUUGUCAACUAUAGAAAACCUUACUCUUACUACUGAAAUGUGGUCUGAAACAAUGACAAUGAGAAGUUUUUUAGGAAUAACUGCACAUUUCGGUAUUGGCAAUGAACUAUUUUCAAUUACUCUUGGAGUGUACCAGUCAAAUGAACGUCAUACUUCAGAACAUAUCGCUGAAAUGCUGCUAAAAACUUGUAGUGAAUGGGGUAUUGCUAGUGAUAAAGUUUCGGCUGUAGUGACACAUAAUGCAGCCAAUAUGGUAAAGGCCGUCGAUCUGGCUUUUGGAAAAAGACAUAUACCAUGUUUUGCCCAUAUUUUGAAUCUAGUGGCACAGUGCAACAGUGUACAGAACUGCAAAGCUUGAUAAUUAAAGUCAAAAAUAUUGUAACAUGGUUCAAACAGAGCAAUAUAGCUAGCUAUAAUGAAUUACGUAAAGCCACUCAGAAAGAGACUAAAUUGAUUCAAGAAGUCCCAACUAGAUGGAGUAGUACAUAUUACAUGAUAGAAAGAUUUUUGGAGCUUCGUACCAUCGUUAAUGACAUAAUCAUUCGUCACAAAAAUGCACCACCGAUGCUUACUGCGUCAGAAUUAUCAAUUCUUUGUUCAGUAUUACAAAUUCUGCGGCCAAUCGAAGCUGCAACCACAUUUGACUGAGUAUGUGGAAUUUGUAUCCAGAUCGGGCCAGCAAAUACUUUUUGUGUAAGCGGUGCUUGCCGAAAGACACCAAAAUAAAAGUUCAUUUAUCAAGCUUGAAUAAUUUGAAACAACAUGUAAGAAGGGUACAUGAGUCACAGUACGUACAGUUUGAAGAGAUUGUUAACCCUUAAAUUGAUUUAGUCCGUUUUAAAGGACACAACAUUUAGACGCACACAGACACAGUUCUAACACUUCUAUGCGCCGUGAGCGGGUGGAAGGGUACGGUACUAGCUAUCUCUUUCGCGCGCGUGCAUGUUCCAUUAGCGAAACGACGAACGGUCGCGAGUAGUGAUCAUUUGGAAAAGUGCAACGGUUGGAUUUGUUUACGCUCCUGUUCUAAUUGAUGAAAAUUGAACAUGGCUUGGCGAUCAAAGAAAAUCUUCUCAUUAUUACCUCCGGUGGAAUCUGAAGAGUCUGACAUUGAGUCUGAUGACGAUUGGGAAGGCAACUUUGAGCGACGUGAGUAUUUUGACAAUGAUGAUAGUGAUUCAUCUUCGCUUCGUACUAUAUCUCCAGGGUUGUACGAUAUAUUAGCCGAUCUCAGCGACAACGAAGAUCACGAACAAAUGAAUGCUGCAGAACAGCCAUCACAAACCACGCGAGAUGAAUCUUCUCCACUCCCUGGUAAGCCUUCAGCCCCAUCAUGUUACAUACCAGACACACCUUCACCAAUAGUUGGUGCAUCACCUUCCUCCAGUUUUUCCAGACCAAUAUUACUUUCAAAUACGGCAACACGUCGCACCAGACAAACUGCGACCAUAGAUUCAUCACCUAUGCCUCCACCAGCAACAACGACACCUGUAGCUAAGAAGCGUAAAAUGAAGCAUUUAGAUUUUGUAUUUAAAAAAAGAUUAUAUACCGGAACCGUACACUUACCAGACUCCCCUUGCUUCAAGGAACGUCAUGACCUACUUACACCUAAACAAUAUUUUCAAAAAUUUUUCACCAGUGACCUCUUUGAUAUCAUAGUCGAAAUGACUAAUUUAUAUUCCGUGCAAACUACCGGCAAGUCUAUAGGUGUAACCCGUAAAGAAAUGGAAAUUUUAAUAGGGAUAGAAAUACUUAUGGGUAUAGUAGACUUACCGGCAGUUGAAGAUUACUGGAGUGCGGACCUUAAAUGUGAACAAAUUUCAUCCGCAAUGUCACUCAAACGGUAUAGAUUGAUAAAAAGAUACCUACACUUUUGUGAUAACACAAAUGUCGACAAGAACGAUCGCUAUAAUAAAAUUACCCCUGUCAUGGAAUAUAUUCGUAAGCAGUGCCUGAAGAUAGAAGAAGAACGUUCCUUCGCAAUCGAUGAGAUGAUAAUACCUUACAAAGGUAAAAAAGCUGGCAGCAGAAGGCAAUAUAUGCCAAAGAAACCCAACAAAUGGGGAUUUAAAUUUCUAGUACGUGCUGGUACUUCGGGCAUGGUUUAGGCCCAUAGCACAUGGCGUAUUUUAAACGCGCAGGCGACGCGCGUAUUAGGAACGCGCGUCUUCGGCGCCGUAGACGCCGAUUCUUGCGUUUGCAUUGAUGAUACAAGCGCGCGCAUGAAGCGCGUAUACGCGCAGUAGAAGCGCGUACAAAUGAGCGGGGUAGAGAUAGAGGGGGGAUGCGCGCUCACGCCACCACUGCGCCGCCCGCGCCUCAGUUGCAAUUAUUUUAGGCUGAUUUCACAGCUGUCCGGAAGACCCGUACGGGUUGUUGCUACGGGCGCCCGGAGCGGGGGCACACAUAAGGAGCUAGAACAUCGUU